CAACCCUCAAGCCCAGCUUGGUGUUGGGUGCCACCGGCAUGGUGCGCCCUAAAAUCAGUGGCGGUGCCAUCUGGCUUCAAGCGUAGUAAUACUUCUCGCUCUGGAGAUCUGGGUGGUUGCUUGCCAAAACCCACAUACCGUCUCAA
rnacentral:misc_RNA from 1 species